AGCAGUCGCCGCGGUAAUACGGAGGGUGCGAGCGUUAAUCGGAAUUACUGGGCGUAAAGCGUACGCAGGCGGUUUGUUAAGUCAGAUGUGAAAUCCCCGAGCUUAACUCGGGAACUGCAUUUGAAACUGGCAGGCUAGAGUCUCGUAGAGGGGGGUAGAAUUCCAGGUGUAGCGGUGAAAUGCGUAGAGAUCUGGAGGAAUACCGGUGGCGAAGGCGGCCCCCUGGACGAAGACUGACGCUCAGGUACGAAAGCGUGGGGAGCAAACAGGAUUAGAUACCCCGGUAGUCCCUGUCUCUUAUAA
rnacentral:rRNA from 1 species